GACGAACGCUGGCGGCGUGCUUAACACAUGCAAGUCGAACGGAAAGGCCCUGCUUUUGUGGGGUUCUCGAGUGGCGAACGGGUGAGUAACACGUGAGUAACCUGCCCUUGACUUUGGGAUAACUUCAGGAAACUGGGGCUAAUACCGGAUAGGAGCUCCUGCUGCAUGGUGGGGGUUGGAAAUUUUCGGCGGUUGGGGAUGGACUCGCGGCUUAUCAGCUUGUUGGUGGGGUAGUGGCUUACCAAGGCUUUGACGGGUAGCCGGCCUGAGAGGGUGAACGGCCACAUUGGGACUGAGAUACGGCGCAGACUCCUACGGGAGGCAGCAGUGGGGAAUAUUGCACAAUGGGCGGAAGCGUGAUGAAGAAACGCCGCGUGCGGGAUGACGGCCUUCGGGUUGUAAAACGCUUUCGCCUGUGACGAAGCGUGAGUGACGGUAAUGGGUAAAGAAGCACCGGCUAACUACGUG
rnacentral:rRNA from 1 species